GAUGAAGAACGCAGCGAAAUGCGAUAAGUAAUGUGAAUUGCAGAAUUCAGUGAAUCAUCGAAUCUUUGAACGCACCUUGCGCUCCUUGGCAUUCCGAGGAGCAUGCCUGUUUGAGUGUCAUUAAUAUAUCAACCUCUUCAGCUUAUGCUUGUUGAGUGUUGGAUGGUGGGGGUUUGCUGGUGUCUUAUGAAGUCAGCUCCUCUGAAAUGCAUUAGCGGAACAAUUUGUUGACCGUUCAUUGGUGUGAUAAAAAUAUCUACGCUAUUGACGUCAGUCAGUUCAGCUUCUAACAGUCCAUUGACUUGGACAAAUUUUUCAUUAAUGUGACCUCAAAUCAGGUAGGACUACCCGCUGAACUUAAGCAUAUCAAUAGGCGGAGGA
rnacentral:misc_RNA from 1 species